rnacentral:lncRNA from 1 species
CUUAGAUCACACUCAGCUGAAGAGUUCUAAACCCCUAUGCAGUGCUGUCUGAUAGAAAAUAUAUUUUAAAAUGAGAUGAUCUAAGGUUUGUUUACUUACAGAGCUAAAGGAAAGUAUGUCUUAAAUUUAAUAAUGAGUGAUUAUAGAAACAGAUUACAGGAAAUAGUCCAUCUUUCUUGAAUUAUCCAAAUUGUUACAAGCCUCAAAUUCAUUUUUGUUUGUAUGAGAACACAUUUAGGUGAUUGGAUAGAAGUAUAUAGUUUUUCCCAGAUGUUAAAAUUUAUUUCACAUUAACUUUUUUUCAUCUUUACUUUCUUCAAGGCAAGUAGGAUAGAAUGUAAUAAUCAAAUAGGUUUUUUCCCCCACCCCAUUUUAGAGCAGAUAAAUAAUUUCCAAGAGCCAUUUGCUUUGUUAUUGGAUAAGUAAUUAACAAAAAGAAUUCCUAAAGACAAUUAGAAUCAUGACCAAACUGAGUCUUAAAAACAGCAGUACUCAUAGCUGGUGGUUGGCUUGGUGGCUGGCGAUGAGCCUGCAGCAUGGGACUGGGUGUUCCACCACAGCUUGGCUGUUGUCCAGGGAGCUCUCAGUCGCUGGGGUUCCCACAGUGCCAAUCACGAGGCAGGUGCAGAAAGGAUGAAGGUUUCUGUUCCCCAUUAGUGUUGAGGGCAUGCAGGUCGUCUGACAUGAGGGGCAUGAAAAGUGAAGUUCCUGCUUUGCUUUGGGGCAUCUUUGUAACUAUGACUCCUGAGAAGAUUCUGUUUUCAGUCUUAAAACAGGAAUGGGGGAAAAAUGCAGGCCUCGGUUUUAGUGUACUUGUGAUUGCUACCCACUUAUCACUGUUAAAGUCCACUCAGGAGAGAAUCUGAGAAACACUCUCAAAUUAAGUUGAACAUGAUGGAUAAGUAAAGUAUUGUGAAAGUUCACUCCCAUGAUUUCUAAUGGCGAAACCUGGCAGGGUGAGUAAUCUUUGACAAGAAGGUUAUCACUCAUAAUCUUUCAUAUAUUGAGAUCAUGUGUAAGAAGCACCCAGCACAUUGCUGAACACAAAGUAGGUAUUAAAUAAAUGUUGGCUUCCUUUUUUCCUACUCCUCCUUGCUCUUCUUUUUAAUAUACCUUUAAAAUGAUGCCACACAAAUGGCCACACAGUCUUCGAUAUUUAAGAUCAGUUCGGGCAUUAGGAAAUUCUAUAGGGGAAGUAUGUGGAAUCAUUAAAUGCUUGGGCUCAGGCCACGGAUUGUUUAGGUUUAAAUCCAAGUUUCCUCUUUUGUUAUUAAUUGUGCAACUUACUUGGGAAAAUAUGAAACUUGUUUUUCCUCAGGUUCAUUAUCUGUAAUAUAUAGUUAAUGAAGAAGUUACCUGUCCCAUGAAGGUGUUGUAAAGAUUAAAAAAGGCAAAUUAGGCUGUGUAUUUGUCAUUAUAAUUUGGCAUAUAUGGUAAGUGCCCAACAACCAUAGGCUAUUAUAAAAUUGUUAUAAAAUGAUAUGAGCUAUCAUUGAGCAGCAUGAAAGAAGAGCUUCACUGUUUCACCUACUCUCACCCUGGCCCAUUAAUCUCUUUCCUGUUCCUGACAUUUCAAAGAUACGUUUAGGAUUUCAGUCAUGACCUUAAGUCACAUUUGAACAGUUUUCUGGUCGAUAAGUCCUUAUUCCCACAUUAUGUAUGUAUCUUGAUGCAAAUUCUGAAUAUCAUGUCGCAAUUAGUGCAUUUGGACAUGCUUGCUAACUGUGUUAAAGCUCUGAAUAAUGGUAAAGUUUUAUUUCUACCAAAACAAAUUUGGACCAUAAUGUUUUAUGAUAAAAAUCUAUGGUCUUCCUAUGUACAUGUGUGUGUACAUGCUUAAAAUGGAAUGUUAUAGUUAAAUGUAAUUCUUUAAAAGUAUAUAACUCCAGUGGCUACUUGGUUUGGCUACUUGGUUUGUAGAUAUUUGCUUUCCUGUUUCAUUGUUAAACAGGCCUAGAAGUUAUUAUUUCAUGAAACUAAUGUGAGGAAAGAGACUAGGUUGAUGUAUAAGUGACAUUAUAAAAAUACAUGAGGGAUGAUUUGAUUAGAAGCAGUAUUACACAGUGAUAGGAGUAAUGGUUUAGAACUAGACCCAGGUUUGAAUCUUAGCUCUAUCAUUAUAGGCAUUUACUUAACUUUUCUUGUUUGCUUACUCAACUGAAAACUGAAGAUAAUAACACCUGUUUACAUGGUUGUUGUAAGGGUUAUAUGAAUAAUGUCUGGCAAAUAGUAAGAACUCAAGUAACUGUUUCAUUCUUUCCAGAAGGAGAUUGACUGAAAAAUAUUUGGAGUCUCCUGCAGCCAUAUUCCUUGGUCAGCUUCUAUGAUUCUCUUUGGAGCUUAAUUCUUAAUCCCUUUAUUUUCACUUGCUUGUUGAUAACAAAGAAUAAUUUAUUUCAAAAUAAUUUAUUUCAAAAAUAAUUUUUUGAAAUAAUUUAUUUCAAACGCAUGUAUUAUAUUUGAUGGGCCACACUAAUAGUUAUAAACCAAACAACAGAUUGGGGAUGGGGAAGUGGAUGGAGUGAGUUCAGUCACAUGUCUGGGAAAAGUCAAUAGUGAAGACAGUCUCAAUUUUUGUCAUACUGGAGAGUGAAAACACAGGUAGAGGAUUUCAAACAACAGGGUGGAUGGUGAGUUAAAAGUGCUGAAGUUCUUUCCUGGUGUCUAACUUAAUGCAAUGUGGUUUAUCUCUUUGCCCUUUUCUCUACUAUUCAAAUUUAGGAUAAUAAAGAUUAAAUGUUUCUAAAUCUUACUUUACAAUAUUCAAGAAAAAAGGUAUGCUUUUGUCCACUGAAGUGCAAAGCAGAGCUAUGAAAACCUGCUGAACACAUUCUUUAUUUUCAACACAUGUUCUUGUCUUUCCAUCAUGAAAUGCAUGUUUUAUUUGUACUGUAGCUGGGUGACCACAAGUUAACAAUAAGAUCAUUCACAAGACCCUUGCCUUAGAUGUGUUGACAAUGAAGUAAUCAGGCCAAAAUUUUUACUUUCCUUUGAAUUUUUCAAUUCAAACACAACGUGUGCUUGCUUUUACACAAUAGGGUUCAGGGAUUAGAGGGUUGGCUCUUUAAAUACCGUCAGAGACACAGGCAAUCCUACACCAAGUGCUCAGAAGGAAGGCGCCUACGCCUGGGAAUGUCCAGUUGCCCUUGGAGAGUUGAAGAUGGCGUUUCUCUGAGUCAGGUCAAAGUUAACACAUUACCUUCGCUUCAAAGACUGCUUGGAUUCCUUUCGGUGGAUUAGUCAAGAUGUUUUGCUGACUGAGACUAGGAAAUCUAUAGGAGGGCGGGUUAGUUUACAUUGUUGCUUGUCAUUGUCGCUAAAACACUCCAAAGCCUUCCUUAAAAAUGCACACUGGACUAAAAACGACAGACAAGGAACAAAUCCUGGGCUGGUAAUUAGGCGAAGCACUGUCUCCUCUUACCUCCUUGUAGAUUUUUUUUCCCCCUUUAAGUACGUGUCCUCAGAUUUCUUUGUCAUCCUUGGAGUUCACUCACCUAAGCCUGAAACUAAUAAAGCUUGGUUCUUUUCUCCAACACG